rnacentral:rRNA from 1 species
AGUGAACGCUGGCGGUAGGCCUAACACAUGCAAGUCGAGCGGCAGCACAGUAAGAGCUUGCUCUUACGGGUGGCGAGUGGCGGACGGGUGAGGAAUACAUCGGAAUCUACUUUUUCGUGGGGGAUAACGUAGGGAAACUUACGCUAAUACCGCAUACGACCUACGGGUGAAAGCAGGGGAUCUUCGGACCUUGCGCGAUUGAAUGAGCCGAUGUCGGAUUAGCUAGUUGGCGGGGUAAAGGCCCACCAAGGCGACGAUCCGUAGCUGGUCUGAGAGGAUGAUCAGCCACACUGGAACUGAGACACGGUCCAGACUUCUACGGGAGGCAGCAGUGGGGAAUAUUGGACAAUGGGCGCAAGCCUGAUCCAGCCAUACCGCGUGGGUGAAGAAGGCCUUCGGGUUGUAAAGCCCUUUUGUUGGGAAAGAAAAGCAGCAGGUUAAUACCCCGCUGUUCUGACGGUACCCAAAGAAUAAGCACCGGCUAACUUCGUG